rnacentral:rRNA from 1 species
GAUGAACGCUGGCGGCGUGCCUAAUACAUGCAAGUCGAGCGAACAGACGAGGAGCUUGCUCCUCUGACGUUAGCGGCGGACGGGUGAGUAACACGUGGAUAACCUACCUAUAAGAUUGGGAUAACUUCGGGAAACCGGAGCUAAUACCGGAUAAUAUAUUGAACCGCAUGGUUCAAUAGUGAAAGACGGUUUUGCUGUCACUUAUAGAUGGAUCCGCGCCGCAUUAGCUAGUUGGUAAGGUAACGGCUUACCAAGGCAACGAUGCGUAGCCGACCUGAGAGGGUGAUCGGCCACACUGGAACUGAGACACGGUCCAGACUCCUACGGGAGGCAGCAGUAGGGAAUCUUCCGCAAUGGGCGAAAGCCUGACGGAGCAACGCCGCGUGAGUGAUGAAGGUCUUCGGAUCGUAAAACUCUGUUAUUAGGAAGAACAAAUGUGUAAGUAACUAUGCACGUCUUGACGGUACCUAAUCAGAAAGCCACGGCUAACUACGUG